UGGCAUUGUCUUAAGUACUACUCAAAC
rnacentral:piRNA from 1 species